UACGUAGGGUGCGAGCGUUGUCCGGAAUUAUUGGGCGUAAAGAGCUCGUAGGCGGUUUGUCGCGUCGACUGUGAAAACCUACAGCUUAACUGUGGGCUUGCAGUCGAUACGGGCAGACUUGAGUUCGGUAGGGGAGACUGGAAUUCCUGGUGUAGCGGUGAAAUGCGCAGAUAUCAGGAGGAACACCGGUGGCGAAGGCGGGUCUCUGGGCAGUAACUGACGCUGAGGAGCGAAAGCGUGGGGAGCAAACAGG
rnacentral:rRNA from 1 species